AGUUAACAAAGAAAGUUGUUUAUAAUUUGUGAUACCUGUUAUCUCUGACUGAGGUUUUAGUUUUUGUUGAGCCGAUUUACACGUAGAAACUUUGUUCAGGAAGAUUUCUCAGUAGCUCAGAGGACAGGCUGCUUUUUACACAACCUUGUAAGAGAAUGUCUGUCAAUGCUUUCAGCAGAAUUUAGAAACACAACACUUCCUAAACAGAUAUUUUGAGGCUGUGAGGUUGAACGUUUGAGAGUCUAUCAGUGUGUUUGUUUGUGGUCUUUCUGUUUCUAGGUGGAAGCUGAAUUAGUGAGGAUGACUCCUGCUCCUGUCAUCUCUAAGCUCCUCACACAUCUUUACCUGCACAUGAGGAAAAUCACUCCUGUAGAAUGCAGAUGUUCAGAGGGAGAUGAUGCCACAUCUGGUCCAGCUGAUGGAAGGUCUUGAAGUUCUCUGACUGGCCUCGACUGAAGAUGGUCGUCUCACUGGAUUUAAGGAACUUCUGCAGAGUCCUGGUUCCAGAACAUGAUGAUGCACAAUGAGGGACGUCUGCAGCGACUGAGAAAGAGUCUCACCACAUCCUGACAUGAGGAAAAAGACUUUAUUGAAGACUACAAUGAGAAAAACUAUCAGACAGCAGACGGCUGCAUUCAAGUCUGUAGCUGCUGAAUUCAUGGAUGAAUCAUCUGGCACUAGAGAGGAAGACCAUCAAACAUCCACGUCAGCUGAUGGAGGUCCAAGAGUCUCACCAAACAAACAACCUACAGAGUGAAGACCUCGAAUCUGAUUGGACAGCCUCCUAUUGAGCCACAUGUGUGAACAAAUGUCUCUAAGUUGAUUUGUUCUCUAAAAUAAAUCUAGUUUGAGUCCUAAUCUAUGCCUGUGUUUGCUUCUUUACACUGCUGUUAACAGUUUAGGCUGUUAGAUUGUUCCAGAUAAGACAAGUACAAGAUUCUUCAGAGCCGUUCUACCACGAGCCUGACAGGAAGAACUCCAACAGCUACUGAAUGUUCCUGUGGUUCCCUCAAGGCUACAGGAGGAGUCCUACGAGGACGAGCCGGUCCACCUGAUGGUGGCCAGUCGCUGCGGUUCAAAGCCAACACCGACUACGUGGACUUCUACUGGACUAAAUGGAGGCCUUCAAACCGGACCAACAAGUUCAGCGACUCCCUGACUCGUGGGUCUGAGGACGCUGCUGAGCCUCGGUCCAGCCGGCUGCCUGUCUGUGGGUGUUUGAGUGCUGAGAGGUUUGUGGAUGCAUGUGAACGUUCUGUGUUGAAACAGCAGCUUUGGACUCAGUAACGCCGGGAAAAACCAAGAGCUCCUUUAUUUGUGACUUCCACUAAAAAAACUGAUGAAAAUAAGUUUGCCAGGGUUCUGACUGAUAACAAAUUAUUAAAUAAUGAAAAUAAUCCUUUAAAUAUUCCUUUAAACAAUCCUUUUAGUUACACAUUUCCUUUACACUGACUUCUUGGUAUAUGUACAAGUGUUUUAGGUGGAAUAUACCAUUAAGCCCAAUGUUCAAGGCUUCUUCUGGGAAUAUACCAUUAAACCAACCUUUUAGGUAAAUGUUCCACGAUGUUGGGGAGAAUAUACCAUCAGAUCAACCUUUUAGGUCUACAUUGGAAGAUUUUAGAGUAGAAUAUUACUCCAAAACAUCCUUUAGGUCAACAUUUAAGGUGGAAUAUUCCUUUGAACGAACUUUUUAAAUUUAUGUUCAAGGAUGUUGGGUGGAAUAUACCAUCAGACCAACCUCCAAGGUCUACAGUAGUGAAUUUUAGGUGGAAUAUACCAUUAAACUCACCUUUCAGGUCUACAUUGGAGGAUUUUAGGUGGAAUUUUAUUCCAAACCGUCUUUUAGUCUACAUUUAAGGAUGUUUCGGAUUUUAUAUUCUUCCAAACCAACUUCUCAGGUCUUCCUUUCAGGUGGAAUAUUCCUUCAUACUAACUUUUUUGGUCUACAUUUAAGGAUUUUUUGUAAACCACCCUUUGGGGUCUAUAUUUGAGGUUUUAGGUGGAAUAUUCCUUUUAACCAGCCCCUCAGGUCUCUUUGAGGAUUUUGGAUGGAAUACUCGGUUAAACCAACAUUUUAGGUGCAUGUCCAAGGAUUUUUGGUGGAAUGUUCCUUUAAGGUGGAUGUGUGAGGACCUUGUAGGUGGAAUACUUCCUGAAACCAACCUUUUAGGUCAACAUUCAAAGAUUUAAGGUGGAAUAUUCCUUUAAACCAACCUAAAUUUCAUGUUUUGAUCAUUAUCAAGUGAGAAACCUCAAUCCAGACUCCUCAUAAUGACAUUUGAGAUUCAUGCUGCUGUUAUUUGUUUAGUCCAGACUAAACAACAGAAAUCCACAACUGUAAUUUUAUUUCAGGACUCGGUUAUUAAAUGUCAAAACAAUUCAUGUGAAUCUAAAAACUCAACAGCUUUACAAACUCUAAGAUUAAACUCUCCACAAGGAUCCAAAAUAAGUUGGACUUCUACAUGAGAACUUUAAUUAUUCUUCAUCUACUUCCUGAAAAGUUUGGUCAAUAAAAAAGACAAAAACUAAUAUUUUCAGCUGAACUAAAGACAGGCUUUGUGAUUUUUCUGCUCACAUGUUGUGUUGUUGUAAACUUACUCUUUCAAAUAAAUAGCCUCCUAACCCCCUGGAAACCAGCGUUUGUCCUGUUUUUGUGUUGCUCCUCGGUGACCCCAGACAGCCGGGUCGUAAUGUUUUUUGAGCAACACACCAUACUAUGACGUUUUUACAAUGAUGGUUCUACUAUGGAACCAGUUUGACAUGUUCAGGUGUUCUUUGUGUGAAAACUCAGAGAUUUCAGGGAUCAGAAGGUGUUUUUCAACUUUCUUUGUUAACUUUCUGCUUCAACUUUAAACUAAAUUUCCUUGACUAAGCCAGCCCUCUGGACUUCCAGUAAGCUGUGUUCCUAUUGGCUGUCCAGGUGGCUGCUUGGUGUUAUCAGGAACACCUGAGCAGCUCAGUGUCUUCCUGCUUCAUGUGGCUGCAGCCAAACAUUUCCUCUGUUUCUCUUCACCACUGAACCGGGUUUGGCUCCGUUGCUUUUGUUCUUUAGGCGUUAGCUUGCAGCUUCCA